rnacentral:rRNA from 1 species
AGUGAACGCUGGCGGUAGGCCUAACACAUGCAAGUCGAACGGCAGCACAGUAAGAGCUUGCUCUUACGGGUGGCGAGUGGCGGACGGGUGAGGAAUACAUCGGAAUCUACUUUUUCGUGGGGGAUAACGUAGGGAAACUUACGCUAAUACCGCAUACGACCUACGGGUGAAAGCAGGGGAUCUUCGGACCUUGCGCGAUUGAAUGAGCCGAUGUCGGAUUAGCUAGUUGGCGGGGUAAAGGCCCACCAAGGCGACGAUCCGUAGCUGGUCUGAGAGGAUGAUCAGCCACACUGGAACAGAGACAAGGUCCAGACUCCUACGGGAGGCAGCAGUGGGGAAUAUUGGACAAUGGGCGCGAGCCUGAUCCAGCCAUGCCGCGUGGGUGAAGAAGGCCUUCGGGUUGUAAAGCCCUUUUGUUGGGAAAGAAAAGCAGCAGGUUAAUACCCCGCUGUUCUGACGGUACCCAAAGAAUAAGCACCGGCUAACUUCGUG